rnacentral:lncRNA from 1 species
ACCACUGCCUGGCUUUUUUUUUUUUUUUUAAGAUUUAUUUAUUAUUUAAUAAGUAUACUGUAGCCUACUUCAGACACACCAGAAGAGGGCGUCCGAUCUCAUUAUUGCUGGUAGUGAGCCACCAUGUGUUGGGCCCUUGACACUCUUGACCUGGCUUCCCAGAGGUGUUAAGAAUAAGAGCCAGGUCACAGGAAGAAGCAGCUGAGGGACAGGAGAUUAGAGACAGUGAUCUUGUCGUCUCCUGAUGGUUGCAGAGCAGACGAGAUAACAAACCAGCUAAGUCUAGGAGCAUUUUCUUUUCUACUCUGCCCUCUUUUUCUUUAACAGAGAGAUUUAAAACUCAUUUAGGUUCUUUGAGUGUUCAUGAGGAUGAUUAGGAGUUUUUCUGCUCCAGCGGUGCUUCCCUGAAUCCCCUUUGGUUCAGUUUGAUUAGUUGUGUAGCUGGGGCUGGCCGAGAGCUCACAUUCAUUUGCUGUAGAAUCAGCAUAGUCUCUGGAUGCUGGGAUUAUAGGCAUACCUAGCCAUGCACAGUUGCAAUGAAACUUUUAAAGAAGGUUCACCAUUAUAUCAUUAGUAGUAGCAGUAUUUUAUGUGUAAGUGUGUUUUACCUCUAUGUACAUACGUGUAACAUGUGUGGCCUGGUAUCCACAGAGGCCAGAAGAGGGUAUUGGAUCCCCUGGAAAGCUGUGAGCUGCAUGUGUGUGCUGAGAACUGAACCUCGAUCCUCUAGAAAAGUAGCUGGUGCUCUUGAGUGCUGAGCCAUUUCUCCAGCUCCUGCAGGGACCCUGCUUGAGGUUAUUAAAUUCAAAUACAAGGCAUAUUUUUUAUAGCAAGGAACAUUUGAUUUCUUUUCAGUCCAAAAUUUUUUUAGUACUUUAAUACUAGGUAUUACAAAUAUAUUUUUGAAUUCUAGAAUAAUCCAGUUUUUUUCUAUACUGGAAUUAAUUUUCUAAUCUCAGGAAUGUAAAAAAAAAUUGAUUGAGGAAAUUUGAAACAGAAACAUGGAGAGAUAUGCCUUGGCCUAUUUUCCCUUUUUAAAUUUAAUUUGUUACAUAAGUUUAUUGCAGUGAAGCCACAAGCAGGAUUAAGGCAGUCUCUCAAAGCCUUGUCCACCAGGCAUCCCGGUCAGGUUUUCCGGUUAGCGUGGCCAUUGUGAACUCAGAGCAUCACUUCGGGCUUUCCACGUUCACUGUCAGUUACAGCUGGAUAGCCAUGGUCCAUUUUAAAGGCAAGUCUAGACAUAAUGCCACUUCACUGAUAAACAACUAAGUAAUGAUAGUGUAGAUUCUCUAAGCUCCCCUCUCUGAAGAGAUAAAAUAAAAUCAAACCAACUCUACAUGGACUACUCACCUAGCAAUGAAUCUAUCAAAUAAUUCCUUAAAGCACUAUGAAGUUUACAGACUAAGCAGGUUACUAACACAUGCCUUUGAUUUGACAUUUUUUCCCAGCUCUUUUCAUUCUAAGAAAGCUCAGCUCUACAUAAAAUCAACACUUCUCAUGUUUCCCGUCUUUCUCUGCCCGCUGUCACUUUCAUCUUUACUGUAAGAGUCCAAAGGUCUUCUUGCUUCUUUAUCUCCAAAUUCUAGUUCAUCUUCUAGGCAACAGAAGUAAUGUUCAAAACACAAAGGAAUAAACAGGUUGUAGCCAUGCUUUAAAAUACCUGGUUAAUUUCAAAGCGAAUCCUAUGUGAGUAGGCACCUUUUUCCUGGUGUCUCUUUUGCACUUCAUUCCUAGUAUUUCUUUUGCCUGUUAAAUCUAGUGUUGUAUUUUGACCCACUGGGUGUUUCUGUUUUAGGAGCUAGAGCUUGUCCUAAACACAGCAGUUAUUUGUGAAAAUCCAGACAGAAUACCUUGUACAUCUUACUGAUUGAGCUUUAGUUAAAAUCUCACAUUGCCGCCUUUUCUAGUGUUAUUUGACCUUGCGCUUUACAGUUAGACAGUCCUUUGCCUGCAUUCCUCAGAUGCAUGCUUACAGCACUUAGGUCGGUGUGCUGUACUUUAUUUUCUGUGUCUUAGGCAUCUUCUUGUUUCUUACUUUACUUUACUAUAACCUGAAAGUUAUUUUCAACAGUCAGCAUACCACUUUGCAUAUGAUAAGACUUCAGUAUUUGUUGAAAUUAAUCAUUCAGGGGUGGGGGGAUGGCUCUGAGUAAAAUGCUUGCCAUGCAGGCUUAAGGACCUGAGUUCAGAUCCGCAGUCCUCACAUAUAAAACCAGGCACAGCAGCAUUGACCUGUAACCUCAGCACGGGCGGAGACGCGCACUUGAGAGUUUUACUGACCCGCUAGGAUAGCUGAGAUAGCAAGCUCACAGUUCAGUGAAGAAAACUCUGUCUCAAAAAAUAAUGUACGAAUAAAAUAAAUAAAUAAAUAAAUAAAUAAAUAAAUAAAUAAAUAAUGUACGAAACGAUAGUGGAAGAUGCUUAACCUGUGCUUCGGCCUCUACACACGUGAUCAUUCUUUUUUAUAUUAACAUUUAAGAUGUGCUUGGACAUGAUUUUUAAUCCCAAGAUACUGCUUAUGAGGUAGAUAUUUAAACAAAGCUAGAAUAAACACUCUUUAAUCUUUUAAAUAAUUUAUUUAAUGUGCAUUGGAGUAUGGAUGUUAGAUCUCCUAUGACUAGAGUUACGGACAGUUGUGAGCUGCCAUGUGGGUUCUGGGAAUUGAACCCUGGUCCCUUGGAAGAGCAGCAGGUGUUUCUAACCACUGAGCCAUUCCCCCAAUCUCUCUAUAGUCAUUUAUAAUUACUAAACAUGUUCUACGUUAUUUUAUCCAAUAAAGGCCAGUUGAGAGUGGAAGUCUAGGUAUCUAUGAAAUAUGAGAUCUGUUUAGAUUUGUUUAUCUUGUAGUUCAAGUGAGACAGAAAAAGAGUAAUGAACAAGAUUGUGAGCACAGCGACUUGAAGUGUCCACACGAAGGGAAGCUAUGAGUUCUUGAGAAACAGUUUAGCAUUUUUUUCUUCCAGAGAGUGUUCCUAAGAUUGAGGAGGGUUAUUUUAGUAAAAAUAAUUUUUUAGAAAAUUUAGUAAGGAAGGGAAUACAGAUUUUAGGUCCUAAAAACAAGUUACUUACGUAUUUUAUUUUCAUCUAAAUUUUUGUGAAAUAGUAGUAGGUAAUAUGACUUUUGCCAGAUAUGUUGUAUAUGAUGUUUUCCGAUUAUUAGAAAAUUAAUACUGCGUUUUUUCUAAGACCACUAGAAUGCAGUAUAAUGCAGUAUGUUAUAUCGGAAAUGCCUUCUCUCUGUGUGUUUACGUAAUAUAAUUAAGGCUCAAAGAACUUUGUUGCUACUUUUAUUUAAGAUGUUAUUUGUUACCAGACCAGUGAUAUUAAUUAAUUUAUUUAUUUACUGUUUUGACUUUUCACAAGAUACUGUUGCUUUGUCUUACGAUAAAUGAAAUAUUUCUGCAAAUUCAAAAGAUUGACAAUUACAUUAAGAAUAUGUUUACUUAUAACUGUAAAUGAAGCUAAUGUCUGCACCUCACCUACUGAUCAUCAACACUAUUGGAAAAACUUAGUUCAGUAAUGAACUUAGUGGAUUAAAACACAAUGGGAAUAUAGAGAAACAUGUUCUAGAUAGUUUGGUAUCUAUAAUCUGUAAAUUAUCUUAAGACCCCUUCAUGCUUACUUUUGGUUCUGAAAAUUGUUGAUUUUAGUUAUAUAUUUUUAUUGUCUGUCCUAACUCAUUGAAUAUUUACUUU